rnacentral:rRNA from 1 species
UACGAAGGGGGCUAGCGUUGUUCGGAAUUACUGGGCGUAAAGCGCGCGCAGGCGGUCCUUCAAGUCAGGGGUGAAAGCCCAGGGCUCAACCCUGGAAUGGCCUUUGAGACUAGAGGACUUGGGUACGGGAGAGGUGAGUGGAAUUCCGAGUGUAGAGGUGAAAUUCGUAGAUAUUCGGAGGAACACCAGUGGCGAAGGCGGCUCACUGGUCCAUUACUGACGCUGAGGUGCGAAAGCGUGGGGAGCAAACAGG